UAUUACUACAGGCGAUGAGGAUGAUGAUGAUGAUGAUUAUGGUGAUUACCAUCAUCAUCAUCAUCAUCAUCAUCAUCAUCAUCAUCAUCAUCAUCA
rnacentral:pre_miRNA from 1 species